UACAUCCAUCUUUAAUGCUGUCAAAGUGUUAAAUAAAAAAAUAUAUUUAUCUGAAAUCCGAAUUGCAGCACCAGGAGAGAAGGAGAAGUUGGCAGGAGCUACUUCCUCUUGAUUUCCAAAAAGGAAAAUAAAGUUCCUCUUGUGAUGUUUCGCAACGUUAGCUUAGUUGUUCUUGAAAGAAAACUGCAUCCCUGGGAGCUACACACACCUGCGGAUGACAUUUUACCUCCUUACAAGGGCUGUGCAACAUGAAAACCAAAAGACCUUUGGCUGAUAUGUAUCACUUAGGUAUCACAUGGCACCUUACCUAUGUGAUCUUCACCAUAUUGGACUUCAUCUAAGAGAAAUUUAACAAAAUAAUGCUGCAUAUUGUUCAAUUAUGCCACAAAAUGGUGUAUCACAAUAUUUGGUAACUCUGUUUAACAGAUCUGUAGUUUCCCAUUAACUUCUAAGGAUGUUUCCUGGAAAUAACUAUAUAAUUUGAUCCAUUAAGGCUCCAGUCAAACCUUUAAAGCUAUGGUAGGUAAUGUAUUUCAGAAGCAUUUUUUGUUUAUAUUUGUUGAAAUUCUCUUUACAUCCCGACAGCAAUCAAUAUAUCAAACGCUCUGGAAAAAAUCCGGUAUCUGUCGCAGGAGUGUAAUAAGCGAGAAACAUCAAGCUCAAAUCGCGGCUGCGGCAGCUAGCAUUGGCACAUCCGCUGACCUGCUACUGUUUGUGGCGUGUGUAUAUAUAUGCACAAUGUGAUUUAGCCAAGUAGGACAUGUUCCUGGACCAGCAUUGCAAUCAACCAAUCACAGCCCUCUGACAUCAUCAGUGUGCUGCUCUUGUGCACAAAAUUCCUUUGUGCUUCUUCAGAGCACACUUGUUUGGGAGAGGCAGUAGUAAGAAGAACCUAAUCAUGUAAAGCUUGAUCUUCAUCAUUCCAGCUGUUGUAAACUAUGGAUGAUCAAUUACAGAUAUGGGCCCCAAACCCUAAACAUGUUUAUAUAUAUAUAUACUAGUUUGGGUGACCUCUACAUUUCUCUGUGCAUCACAUAAUUCAAAAUCAUGUACAAUGGGAUUUCUAUCAGUGAAUAUAUUUGAAAAAUAAAUCUGUUAUUCAGUUAAUACAGUCUUUAAUGUCAGAUGUUAGUUUAUUUUACUUUCUUGCUUUUGUAUUGGCUACAGAAGCUUGUAAGAAUGCGAAGGAUGAAGCCAGAACUUAGAAAAAAGUUAGAAAAAACUCCUGCUGUUGCUGCCGUUUCUUCUGUAUGUGCUUCUGUAUGUCCAGGCGUUUUUGAAACACUUUAGAAACUCAUUAGUAGUAUUAUUCACCAACUCAGCAGAUGCAUAUGGACAUCAGCAAACAUCAGCAAAUGGGUGCUGGUUGACAUGCAGAGUAAAACAAAACCAGUGCCAAUAGAAAGUUAUAGUCUUUUACACUAAAAUAAAGUGUAUAAAACUAAAAGUGAAUACAACGUGACAGUGAAACCAACAUUAAAAGAAGAGUCACACUUAAAACCAAUAAGUGAUGAAAUUUUUUGAGUUGUGUGUGGGAGUCAUGUAUAUUAUGGAUUAUAAUAAGGUUGAAAGUCUUUCUCUGUCGAGUUUAAACCAGUGAUUUUAAAAACCUCAAUUGAUGUUUCUGUCUUCUGAUCCAGAGGGAUUACGUUAAAGACUUUGAGUCCAAAAAAUGCCGAAGGCGGGUUCCCAGCUGCUCUGAUGUGUUGUCAUUGUGAGCAAUGUAAGUCUCUGGAUCUGAGGUCUCUACAAGAAACAUAUCUUGAUGCCGUAUCAACUGUCAAGCCUGACGAAAAGUGCAUUACUUAAAAGGCAGAUAAGAUCUUAAAAUAUGUAAAUGCAGACUAACUGUAGGCCAAAGCAGAGACUUCCCAUAUAACUGCUAGUUGAAACUGUAGCAGCAGCAUGAUUAUGUACCACUUGUAGCUAGUAACCUUGGAGGACGCCUACUUGAAAUUAUUUCUAAAACCAGUUAACUGAUUAGCCAGAGAAGCGCUAAAUUGUAAAUCACAGUUUUGAUAGUUGCUUCACUUUCAGCACAGUUUACUUUAUUUGAACAGAAUGAUCCUCCCAGUAUCAGUACUGCUUUCCAUGGAGUCAUGGUCAGUUAACUGAAAUCAUGUAAAGAGUGAAGACAUCUUUUCUGGUUCCAGCUUUUCACAUUUGUUCCUUAUUUCUCAAUCACAGCACUGUAAAUUCAUACCCUCAGGAUUUUUAGACUUUUGGCCAGAGUAAAUAAGGAGUUUGAAAACAUAUAAGAAUGGGUGCUCGAUUAAAAUAAGAGUAAUUGGUCAUGGAAAGUUGUUAGUUUGAGCCCUAUAUCAGUCAAAAAUGAAUGCAAAUGCAUCUCAGCAAUUAGGGGAGUAACAAUAAGUAUUUUUUUACAUUGUUCUUCAUAAAGUUUUGUUAUGUCAUGAAUGCUAUUUAACUGAGAUUCCAAUUACAAAGUGCUUUACAAGGCAGACAAAAAGAACAAAGGAUAGAAUGCAAUUCCACAUUUCCACAUAUAUAAAAUCAAUAAAUAAAGAUGAUAAGAAAGCCUAAUUACAACUUGAUGACAGUGUUUGUUAGCCAGAGAAGUGGAAUAUGUUUAGUUCAAGAUUUCCACAGGUUAUAACUAUUGUGAAGCGACAGAAAAGCUAUUAAAAGAAUAACACAA